rnacentral:rRNA from 1 species
AGGGAAUCUUCCGCAAUGGACGAAAGUCUGACGGAGCAACGCCGCGUGAGUGAUGAAGGUUUUCGGAUCGUAAAGCUCUGUUGCCAGGGAAGAACGUCUUCUGGAGUAACUGCCAGGAGAGUGACGGUACCUGAGAAGAAAGCCCCGGCUAACUACGUGCCAGCAGCCGCGGUAAUACGUAGGGGGCAAGCGUUGUCCGGAAUUAUUGGGCGUAAAGCGCGCGCAGGCGGCUGUUUAAGUCUGGUGUAUAAUCCUGGGGCUCAACCCUAGGUCGCACUAGAAACUGGACAGCUUGAGUGCAGAAGAGGAGAGUGGAAUUCCACGUGUAGCGGUGAAAUGCGUAGAGAUGUGGAGGAACACCAGUGGCGAAGGCGACUCUCUGGGCUGUAACUGACGCUGAGGCGCGAAAGCGUGGGGAGCAAAC